GCUUACGGCCACACCGGCCUGGAGUACGCCUGAUCUCGUCUGAUCUCGGAAGCUAAGCAGGGUCGGGCCCCUGGUUAGUACUUGGAUGGGAGACCGCCCUAGGAAUACCAGGGCUGUAAGCU
rnacentral:rRNA from 1 species